rnacentral:rRNA from 1 species
UAAGAGUUUGGAUCUGGCUCAGGAUGAACGCGGGCGGCGUGCUUAACACAUGCAAGUCGAACGGUGAAGCCCAGCUUGCUGGGUGGAUCAGUGGCGAACGGGUGAGUAACACGUGAGCAAUCUGCCCCUGACUCUGGGAUAAGCGCUGGAAACGGCGUCUAAUACUGGAUACGAACCGUGGAGGCAUCUUCAACGGUUGGAAAGAUUUUUUGGUCAGGGAUGAGCUCGCGGCCUAUCAGCUUGUUGGUGAGGUAAUGGCUCACCAAGGCGUCGACGGGUAGCCGGCCUGAGAGGGUGACCGGCCACACUGGGACUGAGACACGGCCCAGACUCCUACGGGAGGCAGCAGUGGGGAAUAUUGCACAAUGGGCGCAAGCCUGAUGCAGCAACGCCGCGUGAGGGAUGACGGCCUUCGGGUUGUAAACCUCUUUUAGCAGGGAAGAAGCGAAAGUGACGGUACCUGCAGAAAAAGCGCCGGCUAACUACGUGCCAGCAGCCGCGGUAAUACGUAGGGCGCAAGCGUUAUCCGGAAUUAUUGGGCGUAAAGAGCUCGUAGGCGGUUUGUCGCGUCUGCUGUGAAAUCCCGAGGCUCAACUUCGGGUCUGCAGUGGGUACGGGCAGACUAGAGUGCGGUAGGGGAGAUUGGAAUUCCUGGUGUAGCGGUGGAAUGCGCAGAUAUCAGGAGGAACACCGAUGGCGAAGGCAGAUCUCUGGGCCGUAACUGACGCUGAGGAGCGAAAGGGUGGGGAGCAAACAGGCUUAGAUACCCUGGUAGUCCACCCCGUAAACGUUGGGAACUAGUUGUGGGGUCCAUUCCACGGAUUCCGUGACGCAGCUAACGCAUUAAGUUCCCCCCCUGGGGAGUACGGCCGCAAGGCUAAAACUCAAAGGAAUUGACGGGGACCCGCACAAGCGGGGGAGCAUGCGGAUUAAUUCGAUGCAACGCGAAGAACCUUACCAAGGCUUGACAUAUACUAGAACGCUGCAGAAAUGUAGAACUCUUUGGACACUCGUAAACAGGUGGUGCAUGGUUGUCGUCAGCUCGUGUCGUGAGAUGUUGGGUUAAGUCCCGCAACGAGCGCAACCCUCGUUCUAUGUUGCCAGCACGUAAUGGUGGGAACUCAUGGGAUACUGCCGGGGUCAACUCGGAGGAAGGUGGGGAUGACGUCAAAUCAUCAUGCCCCUUAUGUCUUGGGCUUCACGCAUGCUACAAUGGCCGGUACAAAGGGCUGCAAUACCGUAAGGUGGAGCGAAUCCCAAAAAGCCGGUCCCAGUUCGGAUUGAGGUCUGCAACUCGACCUCAUGAAGUCGGAGUCGCUAGUAAUCGCAGAUCAGCAACGCUGCGGUGAAUACGUUCCCGGGUCUUGUACACACCGCCCGUCAAGUCAUGAAAGUCGGUAACACCUGAAGCCGGUGGCCCAACCCUUGUGGAGGGAGCCGUCGAAGGUGGGAUCGGUAAUUAGGACUAAGUCGUAACAAGGUAACCAUA